GAUGAACGCUGGCGGCGUGCCUAAUACAUGCAAGUCGAGCGAACAGACGAGGAGCUUGCUCCUUUGACGUUAGCGGCGGACGGGUGAGUAACACGUGGAUAACCUACCUAUAAGACUGGGAUAACUUCGGGAAACCGGAGCUAAUACCGGAUAACAUGUUGAACCGCAUGGUUCAACAGUGAAAGACGGUCUUGCUGUCACUUAUAGAUGGAUCCGCGCCGCAUUAGCUAGUUGGUAAGGUAACGGCUUACCAAGGCAACGAUGCGUAGCCGACCUGAGAGGGUGAUCGGCCACACUGGAACUGAGACACGGUCCAGACUCCUACGGGAGGCAGCAGUAGGGAAUCUUCCGCAAUGGGCGAAAGCCUGACGGAGCAAAGCCGCGUGAGUGAAGAAGGUCUUCGGAUCGUAAAACUCUGUUAUUAGGGAAGAACAAAUGUGUAAGUAACUAUGCACGUCUUGACGGUACCUAAUCAGAAAGCCACGGCUAACUACGUG
rnacentral:rRNA from 1 species